UACGUAGGGUGCAAGCGUUUGUCCGGAAUUAUUGGGCGUAAAGAGCUCGUAGGCGGUCUGUCGCGUCGGCUGUGAAAACCCGGAGCUCAACUCCGGGCCUGCAGUCGAUACGGGCAGACUGGAGUUCGGCAGGGGAGACUGGAAUUCCUGGUGUAGCGGUGAAAUGCGCAGAUAUCAGGAGGAACACCGGUGGCGAAGGCGGGUCUCUGGGCCGAUACUGACGCUGAGGUGCGAAAGCGUGGGGAGCAAACAGG
rnacentral:rRNA from 1 species